GCAGUCGUGACCGAGUGGUGAAGGCGAUGUACUAGAAGUCCAUUGGGGUCUCCCCCGCACAGGUUUGAAUCCUGUCGACUGCG
rnacentral:tRNA from 1 species